UGAGACCCCAGCCCUGCUGACAACUUCAUUAUAGCCUGAGAGAGACAGCAAGGGACUCAGCUAAAUUGUCCUUCAUAUCCACAAAAUCUGGUCCAGCCACCACAGAAGAGGCAUGAUUGUCCUGAAACUAUGACACUUUUAAAGAAGCCUAAGUGAGCCACGUGGAGAGGCCCCCUGGAGAUGCCCCAUGGAGGAGAAGCGAAGUGCUCCAAAUGACAGCCUUACAGAAGAUCCUAGCCCACAGCAAGGACCAACUGCCACCGUCCUGGACAUUCUAAGUCAGUUGAACCUCCAGUGAGCCAUCUCGUACAUCCCAAACCAGUUGAGCCUUCAGCCUGCAAGCUUUCUACUGAAAAACCCACUGGAAGAGUUUGAUGCAGAGAAAAAGGGCACUCUUAUACAUU